rnacentral:snoRNA from 1 species
AUCCUGUUGUAGCUCAUAGCAUGAUUACUGGUUUUUCACACUCAUGCGUGAGAUGUGCCUCCCUCAAACCUUGUUACCAUGUCCCCACAUUACCUGCCUGACA